GCGAACCAACGAAACACUGGGCCGCCUGCAGCGGAGCGUGCGAACUUAACCACUCGGCCACAGGGCCAGCCCACCGUUAUCUUCUUUUGAGUUUUUACAGGGAAGGAAACUGAGGCUCAGUGGGGCUGGGAUCACACAGACCAUAAGUGAAGAGUUGCGUGUCUGGACAGCUGUUGUGGCGCCCUGGCCAUCCCAAAAGCUCCAGCAUUCCAUUUCAAGGAUCUCUUGCUGGCUUCCCUCCUACCAUCAUUCCUCUGAGAGAACGUGGCCUUGAGAACAAGGAGUGGAGAGCUGCCAGCUACUGCCACCUGACACAGAGCCUCAUUGCCCUUGCCUGUCUCCUUCCCCUGUCCAUCUUCAGUGUAGGGUCAAGAAGUGGGCCACUCCUUCCUUUUAUCCGAGGUGGACUUCUUGUUUUCUCCCCCCAGAGGUUGCCACGUGUCUAAUUGCCCAUCAAGCUAGAGUGGUGGAGGGAAAUUGGUAUCAAAGAGUUUUUGCUGAAUGCUUGAAUGGACGACGGCUUAGAGAACUGACUGAAGUUUGAGCGGGAAACAGGAAGACAAGGCCAACGUCAUUUAGCCCACCAAAUACCCUCAUGCCCUUUGGGAAGAAGAAAGAUGAAUAUGGAAGAAGCAGAAAAGGAUGAGUUUAAAUUGAGGCAUAAAGAACAUAGAACUAAAUAAGUAAGACCUCAAAAGUCCCUUAGUCAUCAUCUAAUCCAGACCUUUAUUUUUUUAGCAGAGGGCAUCAAACCCCCAAGGGGAUCGUGACCUUAGUGACCUCCUUAAGAUCACAGGGCCAGAGUGAGGCCUUGGGUCUCUUGACUAUUUUGAUCUCAACGAGAUGUUGGUCUCCUCUUCUCCACAUUCACCUCAAACUCAUUUAUUCCAGAAAACUACCUUACCUAACCCAGGGGUCCAGUUAGCACCAAAGUGAUCUAAACUAACCUUGAGUUUACUGUCCUUGGGUCCAUUUUGGCAAUUGCCUCGUGGCCUCAAGACUACCCCCACUUAGAAAGAAUGGGUGAGGGUAGCCAAAGCCAAAUGUACAGGGCCAGUUUUACCCCAGGCUGGCCCAGGAGAGGUUUGGCUUGGGUUAUUACCAAGGUGCGAGGUCUCACCUCCUAGGAGUUUGUUCCAGGGGUCUGCAGUCAUCGGAAUACGCAGUCUUGAGCAGAGGUGUCUAGACCUUGUCGAAUGAUCAGAGACCGGGACGUGAACACACAUUUUACCCCUUUAUAAUGACUUGGGUGUGCCAAACAGGACCCAUCACCCCCAAGUCCUAGCCUAGGAUUUUCUAACCAAGUAUAUAGUUAGAGGAAAAUGUAAUCCACGUGUAUCUGACUCACUCAUCCCUAAAUUAUCCUAAAGUUCCAUUCUGGGAAUGGUUUGAUAUGUACUCUGCUUUUUUUCAUCUUUUGGAAUCUUGAAUUGGCCAAGACAAAAUAAAAAGCCAUCCUGAGAGAUGGAAGGACUCUUCAAGUAGAGGCAUGACCUGUAGGCUCCUCCCCAAGGCCUCCUGGGACAGGAAGCCCAGCAGGGCAGGGAGCAUGCCAGAACCCAGAAACAUACCUUUAUUAGUCAUCUCCCAGCUCCCCUUCUGCUUGUACUUCUGCGAUGCUGUGCCCUACUGAGGAAAAUCACCCAGUGCGGAAGAUGGUGUCACUACAGAUUUAUGGCAUCUGGACUCUGUUGCACCCCCAAGAGUACGGAGAGAUCCCAUCAGGUGAGUCUCCAAGGACAUUCCAGACCUUCACCACGCUUCUCAACACCCCAAAUCCUUUUCUCAAUGAUUUUCUCUUUUGCAGAGAAAAGUGAGUCCAUCAAGAAAGAAUUUUCUCCCCUUCCUGUCACGCUCUACAAACCUAUCUGCCUCAGCACCCUCCUGCUCAAUUAGGGCCAUUUCUGAAGGGCCAGCCCAGCUUCAGAGCUCCCUGUGGUCCCAGUUGCAUCAUUCUUCAACUCCCCUCUCCGCCGUUUCCGCUUCCUUUGCCCCCUCACUCAGUAGGUGUUCUUCCCAAGACCACCCCCCAGUAAUUCUCCUACGUGAAAAUCACACGGUCUGUUUCUUGGCGAACCCAACUAAGAUGAGAAAGAGUGUUUCAGGCAGUGGGAACAUGCAAUGGCGUCCAAUUUCUUCCUGUGUCCUCUGGGACCUUGUUCCAUGAUCCCCUCUUUUUUGCUGAAUCUUCAAACUCCACCUCUCCUUAGCGUAUAUACUUAUUCAAGUCUUUCCCACAUUAAAACACAAAAAUUAAACCUUCCUUUCACCCGAAGCCCCUCUCCAGCUGUUACCCCAUACAUAUUCCCUUUUGGUCAAGCUUCUCAAGAAAGUAGAUGGUCAUUACUCCCUUCAUCUCACAUUUACUCCUCAACUCAUUGUGGUCGGCAUCCACUGUCAACAAUGAAAGACUCUUUGAAGUCACCAGCAGUAGGUGCUUUUCAGUCUUCGUUGCUUGACUUGUCAGCCAUAUUUGAUGCCAUUGACCUUCCUCUCAAUCUCCACUUCCUUUGCUCCUUUGGUUUGUGUUCUUUUCUGAAUCUCUUUCUACUACUUAGGAGAUCUGUUUAGUCUCUGUUGUGUCCCCCUCACCCCCUGUCCCACUACAUCCAUAAAUGUUGGUUGGGAUUUCCCGUAUCUCUCCAUGGCUGUCUGUGCCUUCUUCUCUUCUCACUCUACACACUCCCCACUCCCGAUAAGCUACUCCCUCAAGCUCCUGACCUGAAUCUGCACUUCUAGCCAAGGUCUCUCUUCUGAACUCCAUCUUAAGUUCUAUGAGAUAAAACAGGACUCAUUAGCAGGACUCUGUCUACCCUUGAAUCUGCUCACCUUUCUGAACACCCCCAUCUUGGGGAAGGAUGUCAACGUUUCCCUAGGGCCUCUGCCUUAUCCCUGGCAUUCAAUCAGUCACCAAGUCCUGCCAACUUGACCGCUUAAGCAUCCAUCCUCUCUGCUCUGGCUCCAUUCCUACUGCCUUGGUCCAGGCUCUCACUUCUUGAUGGCUAUUGCUAUGGUCUCCUAAUGGUUUCCUUUCAGCCACUCUUGACCAUGCCCAAUCCAUACUAUACAUAGAAGCAAGAGUGAUAUUUCUAUAAAACAAAUCUUGUGCAUCAUUCCUUUACUUAAAAUUCUUCAGAAGCUUCUCAUCACUCUCAGGAUAAAAUCUAAAUUCUUCAGUAUAACAUAAAAAAUCCUGUAUGAUCUAGUUCCUGUCUGUCAGUGCAGCCUCAUUUCUCCUUCCCGUUCCCCCUCUCCAUGCUACGGCAACACUGAAAUUCAUUGUUCUAACUCCCACAACACAGUAGAUUUUCUCUUUAAGUCUAAACUUCUUGAGAGCAGUGUUCAUAUCUUUUCAUCUCUGGAUCUUCUAUACAAAGUACAGGGCCUGGCAUAGAGCAGGCACUCAAUACAUGUUUAAUUAGCACUAACGCCUAGCUUUUAUUGAACACUUUCGGUAAGGCCAGGCAACGUGCUAAGCACUUUAACAUACAUUGUGUCAGUUAGUUCACACAACUACAAUUACUGUUAGGUAGGUGUCAUUAUCCCUAUUUUAAAGAUGAGAAAACUGAGACAUAGAGAGGUUAGGUAGCUCUCCCAAGCUGGUAAGUGGCUCAGAAGAGACGUGAACCAUACUCUUAAUUAAGCACGAGUGUGAGCUGCUAUGCCAUUCAUGCUGAUGAAAGUUCAGUGUAGGGAUUCUGGGUGCAGCUCUUGGGAGCUGCCUUACGCACUGUCUGUCUGACACCAGUCCAUCCAGUGCUUGCACGGGCCUCUACCUAUUAACUUGGGCCUUGAGGCUUGCACUCGGUGAACAAGAUUUCAGCAUUCCCAGUUCAGCCAGUCUUUGCUCCCAUAUCAAAAUCCUUUGCCACUGCUACAGUUCUACCGUGCUGCCCAGACUCUUCCAGAUCUGGCACCUGGUCUCCUGGCUUCUGGCUGAGAGCUCUGCCUCCUGACCAUGCAGACCUACAGCCAGUAACACUCAACAAUGCUUGGUUUCUCAGGCUUGUCUGGCCAGUAGGUCUGUCUUGGUGUGCACCCCAGUCCACAUCCCCAGCUCUGAUCUGAUUGCUUCCCAUGUAGACCAGCACUCUUAGCAUGCUGGGCCCCAGCCAGCGCCGUCCUUGCCUUGCUGUCAGUCACUCUGCCUGAGCUGAGACCUUGCUCCCUGCUCCCACUGCCAGCAGCUCAGGGACCAGACAGCAGGAGAAGCGGAGAGGUGAGGGACCACUUAGAAAGGCCUGUGACUGCCAGUCAGGGGCGUGCUGAGACUGUGGGGACGGGUGGGGCUGCAUCUACAGGUCUUCAUCCCCACACCUGCAGUUGGAGAGCUCACAGCUGAACUCUGGAGCCACCGGCCCACUAGCUAUGCUUCCUUCUCAGUCACUGUUUGUUUCUCAGUAUGGCAAAGUUACAAUGCAAGUACAGUGACGUGUUCUUGACUAACAGGACUGAUACUUUGUGACCAGCUUUUAUUGUGAUGUUAAUGAUAAUUUGUACCUGGCUCUAAUUAUUAUAUUAACAAUAUGCAGUCCUUGAUGAGUAAGAGUUGCACUUCAGAAAUAAGGCCAGAUUGAUCUGAGCAGUGAAACUAUUUUAAAUGAUAAAGCUUCAAUUUUGUAAGUCAUUUUUAUUAUAAAGCACUUUCAUACAUAUCAUCUCGUUUCAACUGGGUUAAAAUAGUUUUUUUAAUACAACAAAGGGGAAUAGGGCUCAGAUUUAAAAUCGCGUCCUAUUCGUCCAUCACUGUUGAAGGCAACAGCACUAAUCCCAGAGACUUAAUAUACAACAUUUGAGUAAUCUUUCCAGCAACCACAAAAGAUGGGAAUUAUCCCCAUUUUAGAGACAGGAGAAGUUAGGUAAAUUGCCCACUGUCCCACAGCUAAUAACAGAAAAGCCAGGAGCUGAAAUCAGGUCUGCCGGAUGCUAACGCUUACGUGCUCCUGCUGGGCCCCUCUGCCCACCGCCGGGCCUUGUUGCAGGCUGUGCACGGUUCCAGUGGUCUCCCGCUGUACUCUGGGCUCCAGCGCAGGAUUAAACGUCACCACCUCCCCACCAGGGUGUCGUGAGCUUUUGUGUCUUAAACACAACUUCCUGGUGUUAACCUCCAGUCCCUCUGUUGGGAUGCUGGCCCUAGAUGACUGACAUUCCCAUCUGACUUACUGUCGAGGAGGUACCUGGCACUCAGCUGUGAGCUGGAUGUCACAGGAAGCCACCGUUCCCAAGGAAAAGGGAAGGCAGCUCCUGGGAAGCUCCGAAGUGGAGGCAAAGGCCAUCAUGACAACGUGGUGAGCAGGCGCUUCCUCCAUUUGCCCAGGACUUGCUGAGAACAUCAUUCCAGAAGUAGGCAGGUGACUUUACUAUCUAAUUGUCAUCUCUUGAGAUUCUGCCAUCUGGAGGGUGCUUGUCCCCUUUAAACUAUCCUGCCCACGGAAGGCCACCACUAGUGAAAAUAAUCCACAGAGCUGGCAGGGCAAGGGGCCUUUGUGAGGAAGUGAAAGAGUUCUGAUCCUGCCUCUAUCAGGCCCGUUCUUAAGGUCUCAGGCAAGUCUCCUUCUCUCCAGGGCUUCCGUUUGUUAACAGUUACUAGAUCCUCCUGAAGGUCCCCUUGUUUCUCAUGUUCCAGUGGUCCCUCGGGGCUGACCUCAGCGGUUUUAGGAAGACACCUUCCCUCCUGCUCAGGCUCAUGGACCUAGAGUCUGGGUCUCCACACGUCUGAGAUCCCGGAUUGUCCCGACACCCUGACAGAAGGUGGCAGUCUCAGAUACCAUGUUGAGUGUAGCCUGGAUGUUUGCGGCUGGGGCCCGGCGGGGCCUCCAUGGAUGGCAGGGAGCACGAGUGAGUGUAUAUGAGUGAGUGUGUGUGGAAGCGUGCAGUGUGUGAGUGUUUAUUUAUUCUAGGAGCAGUUGCUAGGUCGGGGGUGUUUGCCAGCAGAGAGCUGCCUGAGUGCCGUGUUUGUUUACUUAGCAGAGUGCAGGGAAGGACAAGGAGAGAGACAAGUGCAGGCUACAUGGGCUUAGAGUGGGUUCUUGGGGCCACUUUGAAUGGUCCCAUUCCACGGAUGCUGCUGGGUCCAGAGGGCCCCCUUCGGGGACUCAGGCUCUGCUCUGCCUUCUCUACCAGCAGCUCUAUUCCUGACCCCACUGCCAAGCAGGGUAGAAUUGCUUAUUCCCCACCAGGGUCCAUCCUCCCUUCCUGCUGGGGGUCUCCUGGCUGCAGGGCCCUGAGAGAAGGUACAGGAGGAAAAGGAGGGACAGUGGUAUCAUGACAGAACAACAGGAUGCUAAUCUGGGCUCCACUGACCAGUAACUCUAUGGCCUUUGGUAAGUCACUUGACCUCACUGGGCUCAUGUUCCUCAUCUGUAGAAUGAGGGUAACUUCAGAGUUUCCUUAUAGCUAAUCAGUUGCUUCUUCCGAGAAGACCUGCAGCUCUAUACCAGCUUCUUCCCAUCCCAUUGGACCUGGAAGCCUACAGAUCCUGCUCCUCUAACCUCACUCUCCUAUCCCUGCCCAAGAGCAUCCUCACCCCUUACCUUAGAGUUGGCCUUUCCCACAGGCAAUCCAUUCGUGUAAGAGUGAAGUCCUAGGCCCCCGUCCUCUGUCUUCCAGGUUAUAUGCUGGUUAUAUACCCCCUGUCCUCAGGACAAAGAUGGAGAGAGAGAGUGAGAAAGAGAAGGGACCAACAGGAGAUCCUCCUGACUCCCUCCGCCCUCAGCCACAGGCCCGGAAGGCACAUUUCCCCAGAAGCUGGAGCCAGCUGAAUUUCAGCUGGGUGGCCCCAGGGACACCCCAGGAGCCUCCACCUCCCGCCCCCUGCCCUAAGGCCCCAGCAGUGUGUCUGCAAGUCUCUGAGAGAGCACUAGCUCCCCAGACACAGGCUGGCUGGCAGCCAGGGGUGGUGUUCUGGCUCCUGCACCAGCCAGGAGGGUGGCAGGAAGCCCCUGUUAAUCCCCUUGGAGAGAGCUCCUUGGCAGACAGAGAGGAGGGGCUGCCUGUGCUCUGUUCCUACUUCAGGGCCACAGGACAUUGUCCUCUAAAGUCUUUCAUUGGCAGGGUUUAUGCCUCAGUGUUCUGCCCACACCCCUUGGAUGCUUGGGCUAGGAUCCCAUCCAGGCCUACUCAAUAGGGAAGGGAGCCUGGACUCUUCCUUUUCAGGUUAAGGCUCUUCUGUGACCCGUAACUUACCCCUGUUCCUCUAAAAACCCUGAAGAGUUAUGAAGAAACAGGGUAGGUGGCACUUUGCCCCCUUGGGGCUCCAGCCUUCCCUAGCUCCCGUUUGCCUUUGGACUUUCCUGACAAUGUUUGGAGAGGCCACCAGGAUUGCCAGGCUCAGGGCUGCUAAUUCCUUCUCCUCCUCCUUAUGCCGUGACCCCACCACGCACCUCUGGCCCCAACACACACAAAUGCACAGAGUCAGCCUUCUGCCACUGAGGCUGCCUGUUCCAUUGGUGCCACAUAGAAGCAGAUGAAGAGCUGGAAAAAUCAUCCCAGGGCCAAAGAGAAUCAGUGUGGAAAAAGCAAGGGAGACAGUGAAACCAGAUACAGAAAAGGCAGCCAGCUGGGGAGGUGGUGUCUGCCCCGCAGACCUCCUGCUGUCUUCCCAGGGAACCAGCGGCUGGGGGGAUGGCCAAGCCCCAGGCCCAGGCUUGGCCUUCCUUUCUCCCUGCUUGCUCAGCUGGCAUGCCACCUGCAAGGGUCUGCCAGGCCCCUGAUCCUCCAGUGGUCCUGUUCUAGUCCCAGAUCUAGGACACAGGAUUCCUGCCCCUAAGCCAAUCCCUCCCCAUGCGUGGCUCUUACUGGGUGAGCAAAGCACCAGGGGUCAGGCUGUUCUUGCUUCCCCUUACCUGUUUCUGCCCUACCUCUACCUACACCCCUUCCAGCCUGGUACCAAAGUAAGACUUUGAACUGGGGAUGUGAGUGGGGUGGGUUUCACCCUUUCUAGCAUCAAAGAGGAAGUAAAUAUGUCUCAGUCUGAGAGAUCUCUAUAUUCCCAAGGGAGCUGGUGCCAUCCACCUCAUUUAGGCCUCAAGGGUCAUUUAAGGACUCCUUCUAGGCUGGCUCAGUGCUCUCCAUGCAGGAGGGGCUGGCAUUAUGGUUGCUGAGGAGAGUCUGGAGGAAGGGUCAGCAGAUAGAACUAUCCCCUUGAUCCUCCCAGGCUACAACUUGGUCCUAGCAUUCCCAAGAGGAAUGCCCCAAACCAAGCGAGGUCCACUGUGUCCAGGUGGACCACUCCCAAACCCAUUUCUACCACGGAUCAUUUCCCAGAAACUUUCCAAGAUGGGAAAUCACAACUGAAGCUGGUUGUUUAGAUCGGAAAAUCUGGGUGUAAUGUUGUUCAAGAAACCAGAAAGUCUCCUCACAUGAACCUUGGCCUGCAACCUCUCCCUGCUCCCCUGGCCUGUCCACUCCUCUCUGCCUGAGUCACGACAGCAAUCAACAACUGGAACACAGAGCUUUACGAUGUGCCAAGCACUCCCACGUGCAUGAUGACAUUUGCUCCUCCUAACGGCCCUGUGAGAUAAGUUGUUGUUAGCUCCACCCAACAGAGGCUAGCGCUGAGGCCCAAGGAAGUCGCGGGGCCUGCCUGAGACUGUGCAAGCCAUAGGCGGCAGGACCUGACUUGAAAUCUUGGGUUCUUUCCAUGGAGUCCUUUCUGCCAGCAACCCAGAGAUGCGCAGGGGGAGUCGGAGCCCUCCAGAUGGUUGGAGGGCGAGGAGGGACUGACUUGACUGGCUUCCUGCAGGGCCUUAUGUGGUGGCCUCAGCCCUCCCAGUUCCUCAGGAGCAGAGGGGGCUGGUGAGGGGCUUUCUGAGAGGCAUGUCUCUCUUCUGCGACUUGCCCUGCCCCCUUCCACUCCCAGAUCUUCCUGCAUGUCUAUCAGGCCAAAGCUUGUCCUUUCUUCUCUCUCACAGUCACCUGCCCCAAAGAAUCCCUGCUCCCCUCUGCUUCUCCCCUUCUCCCCCCAGAUGUUCCUGCCCUUGCUUUGGGAGUGAGGGCGGUGGUCACCCAGGGGAGGAGCCAGCAUCCUCAGGGCCCUUGGCAUGGACGCUGCUGCCUCAUGUAACCUUGUUUUAGCUUUGGCUUCACUAUGGAAACUGAACUCCAUUGGGGUGCUCUUUGGGCUCUUAAAGAACCCCCAGUGCCUUCCCCCUGCCCUCAGACUUACUAUGUGACUUUGAACAGAAAUUCAGACUCUUCCGGCCCUUUGUGCUCUGGGGCAGAAUGGUAUGGGAGCCCAAACCUAGACUCAGGAAGGCAGAAGUGAGGUGAGAGGCAGAAUGGACCCCUUUUCCUGAGCGAUAAUCUGCCUGAGGCCCAUCCGUUUCCCGAGGGCUGCUGUUCCUUUCACCCGGUGACCUGGGAACCCCCAGCCCAGGCCUCUCAGGGAAGGUGAUUGUGCAGAAGCCAAGUUUAUCCCAAGCAAUGCAGUGAGUACGUUGGAGGGCGUGGGGUGGGGAGGAAGUUUUAUCCAAAACACAUGUUAUUGCCACUAUUCUAGUUAUCUUGGAUAUUUCCUGCAUGUUUGUCACCAUGGCAACUGACUCAGCACGAAACCUUGUUUGCUGGGCCCUGGGGUCCGGCACAGAGGCCAUGUGGUGCCAAUUUGGGCGUCUUGGUGCUUGCUCUGUCUCCCCCAGCUCAUGUCUCUCUGUCUUUUUGUCUUUGUCUCUGUCUCUCCCUGGCCUGUCUCUGUGCCUCUCCACUUUCUUCUUCCAGGAAGCAGCUGCUCCUGCAUCCCUGGGUGACAUAGGCGGAGACAGGGCCCUGCUCUGCCCACCCAAGCCUCCCUCAGCGUCUCCCAAAGUCCUUGACUCGGGAUGCCCCAGCAUGGACGAGAAGGCCACAUUGCGUGGGACGCGCAGGAGGGCAGCCUUCGCUGGAAGAGGGCUCGCCACGCUCCGGGCUGUUGGUUGAAAUAGAUCUGUGCUACUACCUGCUGACAGCCCCCUGGGAAGGAUGGGCUUGGGUUCUGGGAGACACGUAGGCUUUGGAUCCGACUCUCUCUGUGUGUGGGAGUGUGGGUGGUGUCUUCCUCGCAGAGCCCUUGCUCCAUAGGCUUUUGGAGGAGAGAUAGGUGUGGAAUGGCAGAGAAGGGGAAGGAGCUAAAACUCACUUAAGCAAAGAAAAGACGAGGAGUCCCCCAAAAGGGAGAGGCUUGGCAGCUGAAGGGCAGUGAGGUUUCUGGGCACUCUGGUCUCCCCAAGGGUCUCACCAUUCCUAGUCCUUUCUCCCAGGGCUGUGGGGUGCAUCAGAGCCACCGCAGACAGCAGUGUCCCUCCAUGGGGGCACCAGGCAACAGGGAGGGUGUUGACAACAACAGUGUGCAAGGAGCUGGGCCAGCAGUCUGGAAAAGGCAAUGUGAGCAGACAGAAUGUAAACAGGCAGCAACAUGGGAGGUGGGGGCGUCUCCUGUCCCCCUCCCCACCUCCCAGGCCUUGCCUUCUUUCAUGCUCUGGAAGCCAAGCCUGGCCAGCUCUUGCCAGCUCCCCUCUACCAAGUUUCCUGCAUCCACAUCCUUUCAGAAAGGCCUUUCCACACCACCUUCCCAGCCUGCACAUUUGUCCGCAGCUGCUGCUUAUCAUGCCUGAUCCCCACUCUCUGAGCAAGGUAGGCCUGGAAGUUGUAAAGAGCCCAGGUCUCCAGGCAGGGCUGGGACCACCUGUGGGACUGCUGGGAGGAAAGGGGAAGAACAGAGAAGCAGGCUUGUACCUGGUGGCAGAGUCAGACACUGCCCUCCUCAUAACUCCUGCGGGGUCAUAACUUGUCAGCCCCUAGGUGUGAUGGGGCCUGGACCAAGAAGGGAGAGGCUGGACUGGGCAGCCCCUGGGCCUGGCCCUGAGAGCAGAAUCCUAUUGCCGCAUGGCCAGCAUCUACAAGGGCACAGAAAGUCACUGUUCUUUUGGGCUGGUGUCAUUCCAACAGGACCAAGCCUAUGGAUGAGUCAGGGCAGCAGGAAAACAGAAAAGGCUGCAGCAGCGUGCCUCUGGGGCUCAGCCAAUGGGAUGCAGGGGCCCUGGGGCUUUGGGGGCCACAGGGGCCAGGGGCCGGUCCCAGGGGGAGGGACUGCCAAGAAUUAGGUGGUAUGUCGGGGCUCCAGUCAUAUUGGAAGGGAUUCAGAAUGGGUGAGCUCCAGUCCCAGUGGGGAACUGCAAGGCCAAGUGGGAACCAGGCAGGACGAAGUGGGCAGAGGCUUGAGGAGACAGUGGGUCGGCAGGCCUAAGCGUGACCAUUGUGGUGGGCAGAGCAGGAGUCAUGGAGCCAGAUCGACAUGGCUCGAGGUCCAGCUCCACCACUUAGCCUCAAGCAAGUUGGAGAACUCUCUCAACCUCACUUUCCCAUCUGUAAAAUGGAGAAAAUACCCAUCUUGCAGGUUCUUGUAAGGAAUAACUAAGAUGUUCUGUGGUAAGUUCCCAGAACCGUGCCUAAGAUCACAAGGAAGGUGCUUGACAUCAUUCUCCCUUCCCUGGAAAGGGGGAUCAUUCCAUAUACUUCCUCUAAGACUAAUAGGCUUCUAGGCUUUUCUGUUUUUUUUUUUUUUUUUUAGGUUUUUCUGUUUUUUGAGGUUUUUUUAUUUUCCUGCUUUUUU